rnacentral:misc_RNA from 1 species
UCGUUAAACCGAGGCGCGAGGGCUGUCGCUGACCUUUCCCGGUCGUGCACGCCCGAGCCCUCUCACACAAUCCAUCUCACCCUUUGUGCAUCACCGCGUGGGUCCCCCUUUGCCGGAGGGCCCGCGUCUUUACACAAAACUCGAUACAGUGUAGAAUGUUUAUUUUCGCCGUCGCACGCGAUCAAUAAUA